AGGGAAGAGGACAGGAAGUGGAACCAGACUGGAGAUGCUGCGCUGGGAUGGUCAGGUCCUCAGCAAACAGAGACCCCAGACCCUCCCAAAGUCACCUCAGCCACAUGCACAUCUUUAACACUCAGUGAAACUAAAGCCAAGCUAUAACUGAACUCCUCUCCUACAGUCUCACACACCAACUGCUCCAUGGCAAGUUAUUCAGUGACUAUAACUUGGAUGCCUCUUGCUUCACUUGGAUGCCAGCCACAGCAUUCCUGGGAUCCUUUGCCACUUAAAUGAGUUGGGGCUUGGAUAUGGGCCAUGGAAGGGGCAUGGGAAGCUGAGGCUCAGAGAAGAGAAAAGCAGCUGGAAACUCUUGGCUGUGCCGGCAUCGCAGAAUCUAGGUACCACUGCCCCCUUGUGGUGAUCUAGGAAUUCUCUGUGACUUGUCACCCAUGUCAGGACUCAGAGCGAGUCCCUGAACCAAAGAUGGAGAAAGCAAGUCUCAAGGGAGUACUGCCAGGAAAUGGAGAAGAAAAGACCAGAUUUAGUGUAAGACAGCCCUCCGUUUACAGCCUGGUUCUAUUUCUUACUGGUUGUAAAACCCUAGACAAGUGGCCUCACCUAUUGGGGGGUGCAUUACUGGAAUUGAACUCAGGGCCUCACACGUGCUAAGCAAGUGCUUUACCACUGAGCUACAUCUUCAGCCCUUUUUAUUUUACUAUGAGACAAGGUUUCACUAAGUUUCUCAGGUCUGCCUUAGACUUGCAAUUGCAUCCUCCUGCCUCAGCCUCCCGCACAGCUGGGAUUACAGGCAUAGUUUCUGACCCUGUAAAGUGGAAUCUGGCAUCUUGUAGGCUUGUAGAACAAUUCUACUGAAAACAAUACAAAAUGCUGGGAUACUGGUAUAACCGGGGUAAGGAGUUAUCAGAAAAAAAUGGAAAAACAGUAACUUAGAUAAACCAAGCAGGAAAUUUGUGCUCUAGGGACAUUUCCUGAUUCUGACUAGGAUCAACUGUUGUUUUCAAGACUUCUGCAGGCAAAGAGCACAAGUAAAGUCCACAGUACAAGGCAGAGAGUCAAGUAGAAGACCCUCCCCACAAUAAGCUGGGAUCCAGAAGAGCCUCACCCUCAGAAGUAAACCAGCCCCAGCAUGGACUUGCAGCCAUAUCUUGUGUCCCCUGGGAUGGUCUGUAAUCUCAAACCUUGAACUUUCAAUGAGGUGACCCGAGAUCAUUUAUGCCUUGGGAAUCCUGAAAGAAGCAACUGGAAAUCUUCUGAGGAAGGCUCCCUCAGCCUAGAUUCCACAUUAGUCACGCAAAUAAAAUCUCAAGCACAUGGUGAAAGAUAAUCAAACACAUGAGGAAACGAAACCCCAUGACAAGAACCAGAAGAAACAGGAGACAACAAAGAGCAUAAAGAAUUUAAACACCGGAAUUGUUUUUACAUAGAAUAUACAACAGAUAUGCUUAAACAAGAGAUUAGCUUGAAACCGGAACUAUAAAAAGUGACUGUAGACUUGAAAAAAGACAAACUUGAACUUCUAGGAUUGAAUAAUACAGUAAUUAAAAUUUAAAAGCUAAAACACAAGUUUAAACCUGCCCAUAGACAAAAAGAGAAUUGGCAAGUUGGAAGGAAAGUCAGAAAAAAUGAUCCAGAAUGAGCAUGACGAGAUGGUAGAGUUAAGAAAUACAGAAGAAAUGGUAAAAGACAUGGAGAAUCAAUGGUAAUCAACAUUUAUCACUUCUUUGACUGAAACUUACAAAGAGAUAAGAGAGAAUGGGGAAGAAAUGAUAUUUGAAGGACCAAUGGCUGAAAAAUUCCGAGGUCUGAUUAAACAUUGAUCUACAGAGUAUAAGGCCAAACAAAUCCUAACCUAGGUACAUUUAAAAAAAUAGGCUCAGAAAAAGCUACAUGCUAUGUGAUUCCGACUAUGUUGCAUUCUGGAAAAGGUGAAACCAUAGAGACAAAAAAUUUCUAGGGGUUGCCAGGGGCUUAGGGGAAGGAACAUGAAUGGGUGAGCUCAGGGAACCCUUAGGGCUGUGAGACUAUGGUGCAUGGUGCUAUAAUGGGCCAUGCACUGAACUUAAAACCACUAUAAAAAAUAAAAUGUUAAUUUAAAAAUUUUUUUCACCUAGACAUAUCAUGGUGAAACAGCAGAAUACCAGGGACAAAGAGAAAAUCUUAAAAUCUCCCAGGAAAAAAGACAGAUUAUCUUCAAAGGAGCGAGGUAGGCUGAGCACUGAUAUUGCAAGAGAAUUCAUUCCCACAAGUUAAACAAGGAAAGUUUUAUUUUAGGUCACAGUUUGUAAAGGUUUCAGUCCAUAGUUAUCUGGCUCCAAGG